rnacentral:rRNA from 1 species
UACGGAGGGUGCGAGCGUUGUCCGGAAUCACUGGGCGUAAAGGGCUCGUAGGUGGCGCGACAAGUCAACGGUGAAAGCUCGGCGCUCAACGCCGAGUCGGCCGUCGAUACUGUUGGGCUGGAGCACUGUAGAGGCUCAUGGAAUUCCGGGUGUAGCGGUGGAAUGCGUAGAGAUCCGGAAGAACACCGGUGGCGAAGGCGGUGAGCUGGGCAGUUGCUGACACUGAGGCGCGACAGCGUGGGGAGCAAACAGG